UACGAAGGGGGCUAGCGUUGCUCGGAAUCACUGGGCGUAAAGCGCACGUAGGCGGAUUGCUAAGUCAGGGGCGAAAUCCUGGAGCUCAACUCCAGAACUGCCUUUGAUACUGGCGACCUUGAGUCCGGGAGAGGUGAGUGGAACUGCGAGUGUAGAGGUGAAAUUCGUAGAUAUUCGCAAGAACACCAGUGGCGAAGGCGGCUCACUGGCCCGGUACUGACGCUGAGGUGCGAAAGCGUGGGGAGCAAACAGG
rnacentral:rRNA from 1 species